GAUGAACGCUGGCGGCGUGCCUAAUACAUGCAAGUCGAGCGAACAGACGAGGAGCUUGCUCCUCUGACGUUAGCGGCGGACGGGUGAGUAACACGUGGAUAACCUACCUAUAAGACUGGGAUAACUUCGGGAAACCGGAGCUAAUACCGGAUAAUAUAUUGAACCGCACGGUUCAAUAGUGAAAGACGGUUUUGCUGUCACUUAUAGAUGGAUCCGCGCUGCAUUAGCUAGUUGGUAAGGUAACGGCUUACCAAGGCAACGAUGCAUAGCCGACCUGAGAGGGUGAUCGGCCACACUGGAACUGAGACACGGUCCAGACUCCUACGGGAGGCAGCAGUAGGGAAUCUUCCGCAAUGGGCGAAAGCCUGACGGAGCAACGCCGCGUGAGUGAUGAAGGUCUUCGGAUCGUAAAACUCUGUUAUUAGGGAAGAACAAAUGUGUAAGUAACUAUGCACGUCUUGACGGUACCUAAUCAGAAAGCCACGGCUAACUACGUG
rnacentral:rRNA from 1 species